rnacentral:rRNA from 1 species
CCUACACGACCGUACCGCAAACCGACACUGGUGCGCGAGAUGAGUAUUCUAAGGCGCUUGAGAGAACUCAGGAGAAGGAACUCGGCAAAUUGACACCGUAACUUCGGAAGAAGGUGUGCCUUUAGUAGGUGAACCUGUACAAGGGGAGCCCAAUGAGGUUGCAAAAAAUCGGUGGCUGCGACUGUUUAAUAAAAACACAGCACUCUGCAAACACGAAAGUGGACGUAUAGGGUGUGACGCCUGCCCGGUGCUGGAAGAUUAAAUGAUGGGGUAUAAGCUCUUGAUUGAAGUCCCAGUAAACGGCGGCCGUAACAAUAACGGUCCUAAGGUAGCGAAAUUCCUUGUCAGGUAAGUUCCGACCUGCACGAAUGGCGUAACGAUGGCCACACUGUCUCCUCCUGAGACUCAGCGAAGUUGAAAUGUUUGUGAUGAUGCAAUCUCCCCGCGGAAAGACGGAAAGACCCCAUGAACCUUUACUGUAGCUUUGUAUUGGACUUUGAACAGAUCUGUGUAGGAUAGGUGGGAGGCUUUGAAGUGUGGUCGCUAGAUCGCAUGGAGCCAACGUUGAAAUACCACCCUGGUGUGUUUGAGGUUCUAACCUAGGCCCGUAAACCGGGUCGGGGACAGUGCAUGGUAGGCAGUUUGACUGGGGCGGUCUCCUCCCAAAGCGUAACGGAGGAGUUCGAAGGUACGCUAGGUACGGUCGGACAUCGUGCUAAUAGUGCAAUGGCAUAAGCGUGCUUAACUGCGAGACUGACAAGUCGAGCAGAUGCGAAAGCAGGACAUAGUGAUCCGGUGGUUCUGUAUGGAAGGGCCAUCGCUCAACGGAUAAAAGGUACUCUGGGGAUAACAGGCUGAUACCGCCCAAGAGUUCAUAUCGACGGCGGUGUUUGGCACCUCGAUGUCGGCUCAUCUCAUCCUGGGGCUGUAGCCGGUCCCAAGGGUAUGGCUGUUCGCCAUUUAAAGAGGUACGUGAGCUGGGUUUAAAACGUCGUGAGACAGUUUGGUCCCUAUCUUCCGUGGGCGCUGCAGAUUUGAGGAAGCCUGCUCCUAGUACGAGAGGACCGGAGUGGACACACCUCUGGUGUAUCGGUUGUCACGCCAGUGGCAUUGCCGAGUAGCUAUGUGUGGAAGAGAUAACCGCUGAAAGCAUCUAAGCGGGAAACUCGUUUCAAGAUGAGAUCUGCCGGGGCCUUGAGCCCCCUAAAGAGUCGUUCAAGACCAGGACGUUGAUAGGUCGGGUGUGGAAGCGCAGUAAUGCGUUAAGCUAACCGAUACUAAUUGCUCGUGCGGCUUGACACA